UACGUAGGGGGCUAGCGUUGUCCGGAAUCAUUGGGCGUAAAGCGCGUGUAGGCGGUUCGGUAAGUCCGCUGUGAAAGUCGGGGGCUCAACCCUCGGAUGCCGGUGGAUACUGUCGGACUAGAGUGCGGAAGAGGCGAGUGGAAUUCCUGGUGUAGCGGUGAAAUGCGUAGAUAUUGGGAGGAACACCAGUGGCGAAGGCGGCUCACUGGACCGGAACUGACGCUGAGGCGCGAAAGCGUGGGGAGCAAACAGG
rnacentral:rRNA from 1 species